UACGUAGGGGGCAAGCGUUGUCCGGAAUUAUUGGGCGUAAAGAGCGUGUAGGCGGUCUGCUAAGCGUGUGGUGAAAGCUCGGGGCUCAACCCCGAGUCUGCCAUGCGAACUGGUGGACUUGAGCACUGUAGAGGCAGGUGGAAUUCCGGGUGUAGCGGUGGAAUGCGUAGAGAUCCGGAAGAACACCGGUGGCGAAGGCGGCCUGCUGGGCAGUAGCUGACGCUGAUGCGCGACAGCGUGGGGAGCAAACAGG
rnacentral:rRNA from 1 species